CUGUAUUUGAGAGUGGAUGAGAAAUUCAUUUUUUUCCACAUGCAUCAUAAUAAAAUACACUGAGACCUAUAGGAUCACCAGUAGGCAGCCAUGCAAGAAAUUGCAUUUGAACUUUCCAAACAGAA